AUGCUGGACGUAUCAGAAGUGCGAAUGCUGACAUAAGUAACGAUAAAGCGGGUGAAAAGCCCGCUCGCCGGAAGACCAAGGGUUCCUGUUCAACGUUAAUCGGAGCAGGGUGAGUCGACCCCUAAGGCGAGGCUGAAAAGCGUAGUCGAUGGGAAACGGGUUAAUAUUCCCGUACUUGUGGUAACUGCGAAGGGGGGACGGAGAAAGUUAGGCUAUCCGGGCGACGGUUGUCCCGGUUUAAGCGUGAAGGUGGAGAGACUAGGCAAAUCCGGUCUUUCAUUAACACUGAGGCGUGAUGACGAAGCACUACGGUGCUGAAGUAGCUGAUACUACGCUUCCAGGAAAAGCCUCUAAGCAUCAGGUUACCAGAAAUCGUACCCCAAACCGACACAGGUGGUCAGGUAGAGAAUACUCAGGCGCUUGAGAGAACUCGGGUGAAGGAACUAGGCAAAAUGGUGCCGUAACUUCGGGAGAAGGCACGCUGACGGUAGGUGAAGUCCCUUGCGGAUGGAGCUGAAGUCAGUCGAAGAUACCAGCUGGCUGCAACUGUUUAUUAAAAACACAGCACUGUGCAAACACGAAAGUGGACGUAUACGGUGUGACGCCUGCCCGGUGCCGGAAGGUUAAUUGAUGGGGUUAGCGAAAGCGAAGCUCUUGAUCGAAGCCCCGGUAAACGGCGGCCGUAACUAUAACGGUCCUAAGGUAGCGAAAUUCCUUGUCGGGUAAGUUCCGACCUGCACGAAUGGCGUAAUGAUGGCCAGGCUGUCUCCACCCGAGACUCAGUGAAAUUGAAAUCGCUGUGAAGAUGCAGUGUACCCGCGGCAAGACGGAAAGACCCCGUGAACCUUUACUAUAGCUUGACACUGAACAUUGAGCCUUGAUGUGUAGGAUAGGUGGGAGGCAUUGAAACGUGAACGCCAGUUUGCGUGGAGCCGACCUUGAAAUACCACCCUUUAAUGUUUGAUGUUCUAACGUUGUCCCGUAAUCCGGGAUACGGACAGUGUCUGGUGGGUAGUUUGACUGGGGCGGUCUCCUCCUAAAGAGUAACGGAGGAGCACGAAGGUUAGCUAAGCAUGGUCGGACAUCAUGCGGUUAGUGCAAAGGCAGAAGCUAGCUUAACUGCGAGACGGACAGGUCGAGCAGAUACGAAAGUAGGUCUUAGUGAUCCGGUGGUUCUGAAUGGAAGGGCCAUCGCUCAACGGAUAAAAGGUACUCCGGGGAUAACAGGCUGAUACCGCCCAAGAGUUCAUAUCGACGGCGGUGUUUGGCACCUCGAUGUCGGCUCAUCACAUCCUGGGGCUGAAGUUGGUCCCAAGGGUAUGGCUGUUCGCCAUUUAAAGUGGUACGCGAGCUGGGUUUAGAACGUCGUGAGACAGUUCGGUCCCUAUCUGUCGUGGGCGUUGGAUGAUUGAGGGGGGCUGCUCCUAGUACGAGAGGACCGGAGUGGACGCAUCUCUGGUGUUCCGGUUGUCACGCCAGUGGCAUUGCCGGGUAGCUAAAUGCGGAAGAGAUAAGCGCUGAAAGCAUCUAAGCGCGAAACUUGCCCCGAGAUGAGUCAUCCCUGAGGCU
rnacentral:rRNA from 1 species